rnacentral:rRNA from 1 species
CAGUAGCCGCGGGAAUACGAAGGGGGCUAGCGUUGUUCGGAUUUACUGGGCGUAAAGCGCACGUAGGCGGAUUGGUAAGUUAGGGGUGAAAUCCUGGAGCUCAACUCCAGAACUGCCUUUAAUACUGCCAGUCUCGAGUCCGGAAGAGGUAAGUGGGACUCCUAGUGUAGAGGUGGAAUUCGUAGAUAUUAGGAAGAACACCAGUGGCGAAGGCGGCUUACUGGUCCGGUACUGACGCUGAGGUGCGAAAGCGUGGGGAGCAAACAGGAUUAGAUACCCCGGUAGUCCCUGUCUCUUAUAC